rnacentral:rRNA from 1 species
UACGGAGGGUGCAAGCGUUAUCCGGAUUCACUGGGUUUAAAGGGAGCGUAGGCGGGUUGGUAAGUCAGUGGUGAAAUCUUCAAGCUUAACUCAGAAACUGCCAUGGAUACUAUCUGUCUUGAAUAUUGUGGAGGUAAGCGGAAUAUGUCAUGUAGCGGUGAAAUGCUUAGAUAUGACAUAGAACACCAAUUGCGAAGGCAGC